rnacentral:lncRNA from 1 species
AACAUAAGUGAAUCAUCAUGGCUGCUAGCCUGAUGCCAAGCAUAAAGAGCUGAUCAUCAUCAGGUAUACAAAAAUAUCAAAAAUGUGGUACUGCAAUGGGCAAUGGGCCAAAAACCAGCAAUAAGACAUUCAAAAUCCCAUCAUCAAACCCAUAGACAUCCAAACUUGUUCAUUAAACCCACAGUCAUCCGAAACUUCAUGGUCGAACCCACAAAUGGCAAAAAUAAAAUCAGGGGAGAAAGCCACAAAUUCCUGAGAUGAAUCAGACCUAUCAAGCAAACAAUUUUUGGGGGAGAGCAUAGCAUCAAGAUCAGAUAAAGGGUAAUGGUGUCUAAGCCUUACCGGAGACAAGUACGGUGAUCACAACAUUGUGGAGGGAAGUACUGAACUAGAGCAUAGAGAGCCAUCAUGAGGAAGCACCAGAAGCCCUGAGAUGGAGCUCAAGGACCUUUGCCAAGUUAGCAAGCAAGGAUGGUGCUGAGUUGGGUUGAUGAUGCACAGUAAGCCAGUACUGAGACAGUGGAAGCCCGGAGAAGAGCCAUUCUGCUAUGAGGUCAACCCAUACACCACACUUUUGAUAGAAAAAUGAACUUCUUGUAGAAAUGAAUAUUCAUCACUUAACCAGGGGCAGGUGUCACUUCAAGUGCAGGAGUGAGAAAUCAUAACUCUAGAAGAAUUACAUUUGGUGUGGAAGUCAAAUUAUGGAGAGGUUCAGGUGUGGGUAGCACCCAAGAUGGAAGAUUCCAGCCAGCAAGACCAUCAUCAAUGGGCUGGUCUUCUCUUAUCAUCUGCACUGUCAAAUUUUGGCUCUAUGUGAUCUUUACAUGACACUGAACUUGAUUGAACCUUUACUGAAUCCUUUUUGUUGGGGAUCUAGAAAAGUUGAAGCUUUGUUUAGGUGGCUGCUGACAUCCUCAUAAUGCCUGCAUAGGCUAAUUAUAAUUUGCUAGAUCCAUUCUCUGCACACUGUAAAGUUUUAUAAAGCUAAUUGGUGCAACUUGCUCA